rnacentral:rRNA from 1 species
CCUACGGGAGGCAGCAGUGGGGGAUAUUGCACAAUGGGGGGAACCCUGAUGCAGCGACGCCGCGUGAGCGAUGGAGCGUUUCGGUAUGUAAAGCUCUAUCAGCAGGGAAGAAAAUGAUGGUACCUGACUAAGAAGCCCCGGCUAACUACGUGCCAGCAGCCGCGGUAAUACGUAGGGGGCAAGCGUUAUCCGGAUUUACUGGGUGUAAAGGGAGCGUAGACGGCUUUGCAAGCCAGAUGUGAAAGGCCGGGGCCCAACCCCAGGACUGCACUUGGAACUGUCAGGCUAGAGUGUCGGAGGGGCAGGCGGAAUUCCUAGUGUAGCGGUGAAAUGCGUAGAUAUUAGGAGGAACACCAGUGGCGAAGGCGGCCUGCUGGACGAUGACUGACGUUGAGGCUCGAAAGCGUGGGGAGCAAACAGGAUUAGAUACCCGUGUAGUC